rnacentral:rRNA from 1 species
NGGACCAGCCCAAACCAAGAGGCUUGCCUCUUGGGGUUGUAGGACACUCUGUACGGAGUUACAAAGGAACGAGGUAGAUGAAGAGGUCUGGAAAGGCCCGCCAUAGGAGGUAACAGCCCUGUAGUCAAAACUUCGUUCUCUCCUGAGUGGAUCCUGAGUACGGCGGAACACGUGAAAUUCCGUCGGAAUCCGGGAGGACCAUCUCCCAAGGCUAAAUACUCCCUAGUGACCGAUAGUGAACCAGUACCGUGAGGGAAAGGUGAAAAGCACCCCGGAAGGGGAGUGAAAGAGAUCCUGAAACCGUGUGCCUACAAGUAGUCAGAGCCCGUUAACGGGUGAUGGCGUGCCUUUUGUAGAAUGAACCGGCGAGUUACGAUCCCGUGCAAGGUUAAGCAGAAGAUGCGGAGCCGCAGCGAAAGCGAGUCUGAAUAGGGCGAAUUGAGUACGUGGUCGUAGACCCGAAACCAGGUGAUCUACCCAUGUCCAGGGUGAAGUUCAGGUAACACUGAAUGGAGGCCCGAACCCACGCACGUUGAAAAGUGCGGGGAUGAGGUGUGGGUAGGGGUGAAAUGCCAAUCGAACCUGGAGAUAGCUGGUUCUCUCCGAAAUAGCUUUAGGGCUAGCCUCAAGGUAAGAGUCUCGGAGGUAGAGCACUGAUUGGACUAGGGGCCCCUACCGGGUUACCGAAUUCAGUCAAACUCCGAAUGCCGAUGACUUAUCCUUGGGAGUCAGACUGCGAGUGAUAAGAUCCGUAGUCGAAAGGGAAACAGCCCAGACCGCCAGCUAAGGUCCCAAAGUAUACGUUAAGUGGAAAAGGAUGUGGAGUUGCUUAGACAACCAGGAUGUUGGCUUAGAAGCAGCCACCAUUUAAAGAGUGCGUAAUAGCUCACUGGUCGAGUGACUCUGCGCCGAAAAUGUACCGGGGCUAAACGUAUCACCGAAGCUGCGGACUGUUCUUCGAACAGUGGUAGGAGAGCGUUCUAAGGGCUGUGAAGCAAGACCGGAAGGACUUGUGGAGCGCUUAGAAGUGAGAAUGCCGGUAUGAGUAGCGAAAGAGGGGUGAGAAUCCCCUCCACCGAAUGCCUAAGGUUUCCUGAGGAAGGCUCGUCCGCUCAGGGUUAGUCGGGACCUAAGCCGAGGCCGAAAGGCGUAGGCGAUGGAUAACAGGUUGAUAUUCCUGUACCACCUCCUCACCAUUUGAGCAAUGGGGGGACGCAGGAGGAUAGGGUAAGCGCGGUAUUGGAUAUCCGCGUCCAAGCAGUUAGGCUGGGAAAUAGGCAAAUCCGUUUCCCGUGAAGGCUGAGCUGUGAUGGCGAGCGAAUUAUAGUAGCGAAGUUCCUGAUUCCACACUGCCAAGAAAAGCCUCUAGCGAGGUGAGAGGUGCCCGUACCGCAAACCGACACAGGUAGGCGAGGAGAGAAUCCUAAGGUGAUCGAGAGAACUCUCGUUAAGGAACUCGGCAAAAUGACCCCGUAACUUCGGGAGAAGGGGUGCUCUGUUAGGGUGCAAGCCCGAGAGAGCCGCAGUGAAUAGGCCCAGGCGACUGUUUAGCAAAAACACAGGUCUCUGCGAAGCCGUAAGGCGAAGUAUAGGGGCUGACGCCUGCCCGGUGCUGGAAGGUUAAGAGGAGCGCUUAGCGUAAGCGAAGGUGCGAAUUGAAGCCCCAGUAAACGGCGGCCGUAACUAUAACGGUCCUAAGGUAGCGAAAUUCCUUGUCGGGUAAGUUCCGACCCGCACGAAAGGCGCAACGAUCUGGGCACUGUCUCAACGAGAGACUCGGUGAAAUUAUAGUACCUGUGAAGAUGCAGGUUACCCGCGACAGGACGGAAAGACCCCGUGGAGCUUUACUGCAGCCUGAUAUUGAAUGUUGGUACAGCUUGUACAGGAUAGGUAGGAGCCUUGGAAACCGGAGCGCCAGCUUCGGUGGAGGCAUCGGUGGGAUACUACCCUGGCUGUAUUGACCUUCUAACCCGCCGCCCUUAUCGGGCGGGGAGACAGUGUCAGGUGGGCAGUUUGACUGGGGCGGUCGCCUCCUAAAAGGUAACGGAGGCGCCCAAAGGUUCCCUCAGAAUGGUUGGAAAUCAUUCGCAGAGUGUAAAGGCACAAGGGAGCUUGACUGCGAGACCUACAAGUCGAGCAGGGACGAAAGUCGGGCUUAGUGAUCCGGUGGUUCCGCAUGGAAGGGCCAUCGCUCAACGGAUAAAAGCUACCCCGGGGAUAACAGGCUUAUCUCCCCCAAGAGUCCACAUCGACGGGGAGGUUUGGCACCUCGAUGUCGGCUCAUCGCAUCCUGGGGCUGUAGUCGGUCCCAAGGGUUGGGCUGUUCGCCCAUUAAAGCGGUACGCGAGCUGGGUUCAGAACGUCGUGAGACAGUUCGGUCCCUAUCCGUCGCGGGCGCAGGAAAUUUGAGAGGAGCUGUCCUUAGUACGAGAGGACCGGGAUGGACGCACCGCUGGUGUACCAGUUGUUCUGCCAAGGGCAUCGCUGGGUAGCUAUGUGCGGACGGGAUAAGUGCUGAAAGCAUCUAAGCAUGAAGCCCCCCUCAAGAUGAGAUUUCCCAUUCCGCAAGGAAGUAAGAUCCCUGAAAGAUGAUCAGGUUGAUAGGUCUGAGGUGGAAGUGUGGCGACACAUGGAGCUGACAGAUACUAAUCGAUCGAGGACUUAACC